UCCCAUAGGGUCUAGCGGUUAGGAUUCCCGGUUUUCACCCAGGCGGCCCGGGUUCGACUCCCGGUAUGGGAA
rnacentral:tRNA from 1 species